rfam:Cricetulus griseus cell line CHO-K1, whole genome shotgun sequence.
UGAUGUGAGGGAGACCUGAGUACAUUUGUCACCCCACUCAUCACCAGAGUUGAUUCAGCUCAUCUGGCUGGCUGCAAGGGUGACUGCUUCCUCCAUUACCACUCUGCAACUCAUUCCUGAAGUUUUGCACUCGGAGGGCAACCUUCUCCAAAUACAGGAAAACAGUCUCCAGUCCAGGGGAUCUGAGUAGCUUCCCUCCCCACCUAGAACCUCUCAAAACCCAAGAAGAUAUGAGUUCUGAAAUACCUGGUCCAAACUGUUCAGGGAAGCAAUGUUCAGCCUGUGUUUCUGUCUGUUGAA